rnacentral:lncRNA from 1 species
AUUAAUAUUAUCCUUCAAGCUACAGUAUUAAUAUAUUUUAAAUGGCUAUUGUUACUUAUAUUGCAUGGAGCAGCAGCAGAAGCUCCAGUAGUUUUAUUCUCAUGUUUCUCCAGAUAGAACAGCGUGAGACUCCACAGAGCUGAACUGAACUACAGUAGCAAUAGCUUGUUAUGCUAACUGGCUAGCGUUAGCUAGCAAGCUCUGCUACUGUGCUUUUUUUGGCUUUUUUCUACACAGGGACAACAUUUUAUUUAUUUUUCUAAUAGCUACAUAUAUCUUGUAGCUAGCUAACUAGCUUGCUAGCUAUUUAGUAAAUAACCCUAAAGUUGCAAUUUAUUUAGCUAGCUUCCUAUCUGUUGUAAAGUGAGAGAUAGAUUGUGCUUUUGUUACUUAAUACUCAACAAAAAUGGCAGAAAGUUUUCCCAAUGCUCUUAACACAGCCUGGCCCCAGAUUCAUGUUAGUGUUGGGCGGUAUAGCGGUUCAUCUGGUAUACCAGUUUUAAUUUCCCCUUCGCAUUUUUAUGCAUUAUGUAUUUUUCACAUACCAUCAUAUCACUAGAAGAGUUACGGAGUGCUGCGUAGAACAGCACCACCAAAGAAGCAUACUGGUACAGCUUGCUAGCUAACACCAAUUAGCAUAACAAGCUAACACAGUCUGUACUGAAGCGAGAGGACAGUAGCUCAGCUCUGUGGAGUCUAAUGCUCAUCUCGCUGUGUCUUACCUGGAGAAACGUGAUAUGAGAACAGCACUUGAUCUAAAGAGCCCCUGCUGCUGUUCAUCACUGUAUGAGUGUUUUUAUAAGAGUAAAAUUGAAAAACAUCAUCAUUAGAGCAUUAAUGCUUUACCCUAACAGCCCUAGUUCAUCAGAUCUUAAAAAAUACCACAGUAAACAUUUUCGGUCAUACUGCCCAGCACUAAUUCCUGUGCUUCUCUGUGUGUUUAAGCGCAGAAGAUGUCGCUCUGGCGCCACAUUGUUGAUAAGCAGAAGGGCAGUGGCGGUGGUGCCCUGGGCGACAGUGUGUGUACACUUCCCCACAGCUCCAGCUCAGGCCUGCAGGGAGAUGAUUCCUCAGAUAUGAAGCAGACACAGCCCUGUCUACAGCAUCUACAGCCUGCUGGAAACAAGACCUGUCUGCUGCGCAGUCCACAGUCCAAUACAGGUUUUAUCAAAACAACCCCCUCAGGAUCCAUGAGGGACGUUUCAGCCUCCAGCCUGCACAGCUCUCCAGGUCAUUGUUGCACUCCAGCUCAGUCGCCUGCUGGAUUGGAGAGAUCCUUACUCAGACAGCUUGUCUCUGGAUCUCCUCAAACUCACAGUGCUGGAAAGAGGAGGCCACAACUCAUACACAACCCUAAUAAGGCCACCGUGACUGUGGACAGGACCACAGAGAAGGUAAAUCAGAUGAUGGGCCCAAUUCAUGAAACCUUGGUAAAAACAUUAACAAACUAAAGUAAAUAAUGAGUUA